UACGUAGGGUGCAAGCGUUAAUCGGAAUUACUGGGCGUAAAGCGUGCGCAGGCGGUUAUAUAAGACAGUUGUGAAAUCCCCGGGCUCAACCUGGGAACUGCAUUUGUGACUGCAUAGCUAGAGUACGGUAGAGGGGGAUGGAAUUCCGCGUGUAGCAGUGAAAUGCGUAGAUAUGCGGAGGAACACCGAUGGCGAAGGCAAUCCCCUGGACCUGUACUGACGCUCAUGCACGAAAGCGUGGGGAGCAAACAGG
rnacentral:rRNA from 1 species